GGAGUUAUUCAGCUGUGCAAGACAUAAAUGUCUUGGCCUAGCAUUGUGUCUUUUGAAUAGGAGGCAUAGCAAUACACCUAAUUGGGUGUUAUACAUUGUAUGUGGAUUGCUAGUGUACAGAGAGUGGACACACCUCAACUUGAACGCCAUGAGGAAAGGAGAGUUGGUUCUGGCUGCUCUGAAAACGCAGUUUAAGAUAAUUUGUCUUUUUUGAACUUGCUAAUAUUAUGCAAGAACUACUAAUUUUUCUAAUCCAAGGGCAGAAGAGUUAGCCUGUUACAUCAGUGUAAGCUUAACAAUUUUUCAAGCCUGUGAAACUCAAGCCAUCGAUGGCACGUGAUGUUGGGACUUAGGACGAAAUACAUAAUCUGGAUAACUGAGUUGGCGGUUUGAACUACAUCGAAGUCAAGUCAUCCGCACGGCAGUUCCAAACCUUCGAUUUAAAGGCAGACUGUCAUCAAUCGUUGAACCGGUGAGCUGUAUAAAAGCCAGAUAAUGCUUGAAAUGAAACUGUUAUACAGAGAAAAGAUGUCAGUUGAAGAAAACCUGAACUGAGACGUUAUAACUCUUUGAUUGUCAGUUAAGACAAUUUUUUUUUUUUUUUUCGUCGAUGCUUUCAUUGUUGAAGGGCGAGUGGCCCAGGCCAGAAGGCCUAUAUAUUCGAGUUCGUGCACUGAACAAAUUGUAGAAGUUGAUUGUAGAAGUUGAUUGUAGAAGUUGAUUGUAGAAGGUGAUUGUAGAAGUUGAUUGUAGAAGUUGAUUGUAUGAGUUAAAACUCGACACAGUUCUGGUGUCCGUUUCAACUCGUUUAUUGACCGGUAUAAAGAACUUAUGAUAUUCGAAUUGAGAGUUGACUAACAGUAUAGGAUGGUAUGAGAAAUAUUACAUACUAAAGUGAUAUCUAAACAUACAAAAAUUAUAUGCCAAGUGGUGAAGGAUAGAUAGGCUAAUUCAGGGCCUAAUCCCAUCAUUGUUGGAGUGAGGUAUAUGUAUGGAUAGUGAGACAUUAUAUUCACUUAAUGCUAAUUGUGCUAAAUAAACGCUGAUGAUUGUUCUUUAUGCUAAA